rnacentral:rRNA from 1 species
GACGAACGCUAGCGGCGCGCUUAACACAUGCAAGUCGAACGGAAAGGCCUGCUUUCCCUUGUGGAUUGCGGGUACUCGAGUGGCGAACGGGUGAGUAACACGUGAGUGAUCUGCCCCCAACUUGGGUAUAAGCCUGGGAAACUGGGUCUAAUUCCCGAUAGGACUGCAGGGUGGUGCCUGUGGUGGAAAACGAUUUUCUAGUGGUUGGGGAUGAGCUCGCGGCCUAUCAGCUUGUUGGUGGGGUAAUGGCCUACCAAGGCGGCGACGGGUAGCCGGCCUGAGAGGGUGGACGGCCACAUUGGGACUGAGAUAAGGCCCAGACUCCUGCGGGAGGCAGCAGUGGGGAAUAUUGCACAAUGGGCGGAAGCCUGAUGCAGCGACGCCGCGUGGGGGAUGACGGCCGUCGGGUGGUAAACUCCUUUCGACCGAGAGGAAGCCACCUGGUUGGAAGGGUGGUGACGGUAGUGGUAGAAGAAGCACCGGCUAACUACGUG